UCCUGGUUAACCCAGGCAGUCUCACUAGAGUUCCCACCAUUACGUGUUGGCAACUAGUGAUAAGGGUUGCGCUCGUUGCGGGACUUAACCCAACACCUCACGGCACGAGCUGACGACAGCCAUGCAGCACCUGUGCAAAGGCCCCGAAGGGAAGCGCCAUCUCUGGCGAUGUCCUUUGCAUGUCAAGCCUGGGUAAGGUUCUUCGCGUUGCAUCGAAUUAAACCACAUGCUCCACUGCUUGUGCGGGUCCCCGUCAAUUCUUUUGAGUUUCACCCUUGCGAGCGUACUCCCCAGGCGGUAUACUUAUCACGUUAGCUACGGCACAACCAGGGUUGAGUCCGGUUACACCAAGUAUACAUCGUUUACGGCAAGGACUAC
rnacentral:misc_RNA from 1 species